UACAGAGGGUGCAAGCGUUAAUCGGAAUUACUGGGCGUAAAGCGUGCGUAGUCGGUUAUCUAAGUCGGGUGUGAAAUCCCCGGGCUUAACCUGGGAACUGCAGUCGAGACUGUCUAGCUAGAGUAUGGGAGAGGGAAGUGGAAUUUCAGGUGUAGCGGUGAAAUGCGUAGAUAUCUGAAGGAACAUCAGUGGCGAAAGCGACUUCCUGGACCAAUACUGACGCUCAUGUGCGAAAGCGUGGGGAGCAAACAGG
rnacentral:rRNA from 1 species